rnacentral:rRNA from 1 species
GACGAACGCUGGCGGCGUGCCUAAUACAUGCAAGUAGAACGCUGAAGAGGGGAGCUUGCUCUUCUUGGAUGAGUUGCGAACGGGUGAGUAACGCGUAGGUAACCUGCCUUGUAGCGGGGGAUAACUAUUGGAAACGAUAGCUAAUACCGCAUAACAAUGGAUGACACAUGUCAUUUAUUUGAAAGGGGCAAUUGCUCCACUACAAGAUGGACCUGCGUUGUAUUAGCUAGUAGGUGAGGUAACGGCUCACCUAGGCGACGAUACAUAGCCGACCUGAGAGGGUGAUCGGCCACACUGGGACUGAGACACGGCCCAGACUCCUACGGGAGGCAGCAGUAGGGAAUCUUCGGCAAUAGGGGCAACCCUGACCGAGCAACGCCGCGUGAGUGAAGAAGGUUUUCGGAUCGUAAAGCUCUGUUGUAAGUCAAGAACGAGUGUGAGAGUGGAAAGUUCACACUGUGACGGUAGCUUACCAGAAAGGGACGGCUAACUACGUG